UUGUCUAUUAAUUGUAGACCUGUAUGAAAGGCAAAAUGAGGGCCUAACUGUCUCUUAUAACCAAUCAAUUAAACUGAUCUCCCAGUACAAAAGCUGGGAUACUUACAUAAGACCAGAAGACCCUGUGAAGCUUAAACUAAACUAUUAAACCACAUAAUAGCUCCUUUUGGUUGGGGCGACCUUGGAAAAAAAAAGAACUUCCAAACAACAGUGAUUUUAACUCACCCACCACCAGGCCAACAAGCCAAAUAACGACCCAGCAUUGCUGAUCAAUGAAACAAGUUACUCCAGGGAUAACAGCGCUAUCUUCUUCAAGAGCCCGUAUCAAAAAGAAGGUUUACGACCUCGAUGUUGGAUCAGGACAUCCUAUUGGUGCAGCAGCUAUUAAGGGUUCGUUUGUUCAACGAUU
rnacentral:rRNA from 1 species